CUUAUUUGAUUUUCUUCGGAACUGAAGAUUUGGUGAUUGAGUGGCGGACGGGUGAGUAACGCGUGGGUAACCUGCCCUGUACAGGGGGAUAACAGUCAGAAAUGACUGCUAAUACCGCAUAAGACCACAGCACCGCAUGGUGCAGGGGUAAAAACUCCGGUGGUACAGGAUGGACCCGCGUCUGAUUAGCUGGUUGGUGAGGUAACGGCUCACCAAGGCGACGAUCAGUAGCCGGCUUGAGAGAGUGAACGGCCACAUUGGGACUGAGACACGGCCCAAACUCCUACGGGAGGCAGCAGUGGGGAAUAUUGCACAAUGGGGGAAACCCUGAUGCAGCGACGCCGCGUGAGUGAAGAAGUAUUUCGGUAUGUAAAGCUCUAUCAGCAGGGAAGAAAAUGACGGUACCUGACUAAGAAGCCCCGGCUAACUACGUGCCAGCAGCCGCGGUAAUACGUAGGGGGCAAGCGUUAUCCGGAAUUACUGGGUGUAAAGGGUGCGUAGGUGGUAUGGCAAGUCAGAAGUGAAAACCCAGGGCUUAACUCUGGGACUGCUUUUGAAACUGUCAGACUGGAGUGCAGGAGAGGUAAGCGGAAUUCCUAGUGUAGCGGUGAAAUGCGUAGAUAUUAGGAGGAACAUCAGUGGCGAAGGCGGCUUACUG
rnacentral:rRNA from 1 species